UCUCUUCCCGCAAGAAGAUUAUCGCCCCGGUAGUGCUCUUCGGUUUGGCGUAUCUUCCCCAAAGGUAAAACGACUACGUCUCGGCGGAUGUAGCACCACAAUCCGGCGAGCUCCGGCGAACUUAAUAGGAUCAAGAACUGAGCACAAGUGUUUGCAGAGAGUUGCAGAGAGAAUGGCAGAAUGCAGAAAUUUGUUGGUGUUGUUCGUUGUUUCUGCAUGCUCUCCACAAGUCUAUUUAUAGACAUGUGGUAAGUAUGAAUUCAAUACCUUGAAUUCCACUCCUACGGCUGGAAGGUUGAAGAUGUGGCCGGUGGGCGCAGAAGUCGUACUGGCGUGCUGAAGUUGCCAUGCAGAAGUCGUACUGGCGUGCUUCUGCUUCCAGCUUCUGCUGCUGCUGCUGAUUUGUUCUGCUGCUGUGACUGUUGCUGUGGGCUUGGGAAUUAAUUUAGUUGGGCCAAGAAAAUAAUUCUGUUGGGCCAAAAAUUAAAAGCCCAAUGGAGUUGGUCCAAAAAAUAGUUUGGGCCCCAAACACCACCCCAAAGCACCAAUUGCCAAGAUCCAAGUCCUUGGCCGCGGCCCGUACCCGACCCGCCCGUCCGGCGGCGGCGACGACGUCGUCGUCCGUCCGUCCGAUCGAUCGAUCGAUCGUCGUCGGCGGCGGCGCGCGUGUGUGUGUGCGCGCGAGGCUAGUACUUAGAUCAAGCCCACUAGCA
rnacentral:lncRNA from 1 species